AUCGGUCAGUCUCUUUCAUGUUGGAAAACAAGCAUCUGCACUGCUUGGGCGAAUGCCAGGUUUUCAUUUCCAGCUCCUAAAUUUCUCCUACUAUUUGAUGGCCCGCUUGAGAAGAAAGGAAGGCACUAAUCAGGAAUGUCACCAAACAGAACGCUGGCUAUGAAGACACGCUGACAGAAACCCGGCAACAUUUCAUUAAUGUGUCGAUGUUAAAGAUAUUGUAAAAUGGGAGAGACUCCAUUUCUCCACCUCCAAGUAUUUAAAAUUAAAGAACGAUUGGAAUCCA